GACGAACGCUGGCGGCGUGCCUAAUACAUGCAAGUAGGACGCAGUUGCGAACGGGUGAGUAACGCGUAGGUAACUACCUAUUAGAGGGGGAUAACUAUUGGAAACGAUAGCUAAUACCGCAUACUAGUAGAUGGACCUGCGUUGUAUUAGCUAGUAGGUAGGGUAAUGGCCUACCUAGGCAACGAUACAUAGCCGAACUGGAGUGGUGAUCGGGCAAACUGGGACUGGGACACGGCCCAAGAUCCCACGGGAGGCAGGAGUAGGGAAUCUUCGGCAAUGGGGGGAACGCUGACCGAGCAACGCCGCGUGAGUGAAGAAGGUUUUCGGAUCGUAAAGCUCUGUUGUUAAGGAAGCGGUACUUAACCAGAAAGGGACGGCUAACUACGUGCCAGCAGCCGCGGUAAUUC
rnacentral:rRNA from 1 species